rnacentral:rRNA from 1 species
UACGUAGGGCGCAAGCGUUGUCCGGAAUUAUUGGGCGUAAAGCGCGUGUAGGCGGUUCAGUAAGUCUGCUGUGAAAGUCCAGGGCUCAACCCUGGGAUGCCGGUGGAUACUGCUGGGCUAGAGUACGGAAGAGGCGAGUGGAAUUCCCGGUGUAGCGGUGAAAUGCGCAGAUAUCGGGAGGAACACCAAUUGCGAAGGCAGCUCGCUGGGACGUCACUGACGCUGAGACGCGAAAGCGUGGGGAGCAAACAGG